UGGGGAAUCUUGCACAAUGGGCGCAAGCCUGAUGCAGCCAUGCCGCGUGAGUGAAGAAGGCCCUAGGGUUGUAAAACUCUUUCAGCGGGGAAGAUAAUGACGGUACCCGCAGAAGAAGCACCGGCUAACUCCGUGCCAGCAGCCGCGGUAAUACGGAGGGUGCGAGCGUUAAUCGGAAUUACUGGGCGUAAAGCGCGCGUAGGCGGUUUGUUAAGUCGGAUGUGAAAGCCCCGGGCUCAACCUGGGAAUUGCACCCGAUACUGGCCGACUGGAGUGCGAGAGAGGGAGGUAGAAUUCCACGUGUAGCGGUGAAAUGCGUAGAUAUGUGGAGGAAUACCGGUGGCGAAGGCGGCCUCCUGGCUCGACACUGACGCUGAGGUGCGAAAGCGUGGGGAGCAAACAGGAUUAGAUACCCGGGUAGUCC
rnacentral:rRNA from 1 species